UGGAUCAUGCAAGCGGGAAAAUGUAUGAUGACACACCUGCAUAUCAAUGUCUGUAGAGAUUUUUUCUGCAGUUCGUCAUGAUCACUUGUAUCUGUAAUGCAGACUUGUUGUCAAUAAACUGGUGAUGUGAGUGCAGACUAAGCCUCUUUUUUUUAUUAUUAUUUAUUUAUAAUGAAUUUGCACCAAAUUGUCAGCCAGAAAACUAUGCCUGGGUACAAAUCUCUUUUACAUGGUUGAAUACAGGAAUUCUGCAAGUUUAAAUCAUAAUAAGAUAUUAUUUUCGUUUUAUUUCAAGAUUACUUACCUCUUCAUCUUCUCCCAGUCCAUCUGAAUAUAAACAAAAAGUGAAAAGGAAAAAGAAUAAUAGCUAUGGUUUGUUUAAAUGUUCAUCUAUAUCUCCAUUC
rnacentral:lncRNA from 1 species